UGUACAAAUGUGCAGUCACAAGCUUGAUGUAGUCAUUGCGUGCUAUGAAUAUGGGACCAAAUACUUAACUUUUUACUACUUUAAUACGCAUAAGUGAAUUUGUCCCAAUACUUUCGCUCACCUAAAAUGGGGGGACUAUGAACAAAAACUGCUGUCAUUUCUAAACGGUUCACCUGAUAUGGAUGAAAAUACCCUCAAAUUAAAGCUGACAGUCUGUACUUUAACCUCAGAGUCAUUGUUUAAUUUCAAAUCCAACAUUUGGAGUAUAGAACCAAAAGAAGAAAACAUGCUUCACGGUCCAAAUAAUUACAGGGGCACUGUUUGUAAUAAGAUCUCUGUUUCACCUCAAUCAUAAUAUUGCCAAUAUCGACCAAACCAAAUGAACCACAGAAUAAAUGAAGAUGAUCUGAUUAAAUAUUGGAUUCACAACUCCAGUCAUCAAACAUCACAGUAUCUUUUAAAUACACUUUAAAUAAAGUUUGACUUGAUUUCAACAAUGUCACCCAUUGUUCCUCAGACAAAGGCCCAUCCUCCAGACCUGCUCUGGGGCUCCCAAGAGGGGCUGAGACCCCUGGGUCUAAUGGGUCAGCUGGAUCGGAACCUGUCUGGAUGUCCAUGGCCCGGGAAAAGACCAGGAGUCUCCAACAGCAUCUCAGUCCAGAGACAGAGGCUGGGACAGGGAGGACAGGGGGGACAACAACGCCCCAGUACACCACAUCACCAUGGCCAGCUCCAACCCCAGCCCCACAGCCGAGAUUACAACCAACAGCUCAGCCAUCAACACAACCUCCAUCACAAUCACAGCCAAGCACAAAAACAGCCUCGCAAAAACAAACAUCAGCCCCAGUGGUACAAUCAGCAUCUCAACCAAUACCAAGCAGUAGACCAAUCCUACAGGAAAUGCAUCUGACAGCUAAACUCAAAACAUUGCCUUCAGAUCAGCCUAACACACAAACAGCAUCGCAACCGACACCACAAGGAACAGCUCAACAGCUGACACAACCGUCCUCCCAACCUCACAUGCCAACCAGACCAACUUUACGAGGAGCGUCUGAGAGAUCCUCCACGUCUCUGAAGAGAGCUGAGAAGAUGCCUGUGGAGAAAUGGACAGAAAGAGCGCUCCCGACUGGGACUAUGGAGGAAUCUAACAAUGGUCAAAUUGAGAUUCACAUCGCAAAUCCUGAGAUACCUUCUUCUUCAUCAUCAUCAUCAUCCUCAUUGUCACACCGGAGUCAGCCAUCCUGGAUGGAACUUGCCAAGAGGAAAUCUCUGGCCUGGAGUGACAAGACUAUGGACUAAGAGAAAUGCACACGCGUGCGUGUGUGUGUUUGAGGGAGGUAAAGAUGUUCCUAAAGAGAGUAAGAAGAAGACUGAAAUAAAAUAAUGAUUUGUUGCUGACUGUAUUAUUUGAACCUACUGGCUUCAGAGUUUAAAACCUCUUUCCCUUUACUGUGCCUUACUCUUCUAACCAUUACAUUUUUAAAAUUACUUAUAUUUCACAUCGGCCAGACUGAUGCUAAACUACUGCGUAUAACAACACUAAACCAAGAGGUCUGGACUUUUAUGGCAAGAGGGCAUACUCUUGUUUGUUGCUGGUUCAAACUCCGAUUCAGUUUUUUCACUGCUUUUGACAUAUCACUCCAUGCUUGAUCCCUGUUGUCUGGAAUAAAUAUAUAUACUGUCAAUUGUA